rnacentral:rRNA from 1 species
GAUCCUGGCUCAGAGUGAACGCUGGCGGUAGGCCUAACACAUGCAAGUCGAACGGCAGCACAGAGGAGCUUGCUCCUUGGGUGGCGAGUGGCGGACGGGUGAGGAAUACAUCGGAAUCUACUCUGUCGUGGGGGGAUAACGUAGGGAAACUUACGCUAAUACCGCAUACGACCUACGGGUGAAAGCAGGGGAUCUUCGGACCUUGCGCGAUUGAAUAAGCCGAUGUCGGAUUAGCUAGUUGGCGGGG